CUUUCUGCCAUUGUGAUAAGGUUCUUCAGCACAAAAUCGGCGGCCGGUGGAGGGCAAGCUGCUCGGCGGUGAUAACUCGUGCGGCCGCGACGGCGAGUGGAGGAUCAGCUGAUUGGUGGCGAUAAAUCGUGCGACCGAGACGAGGGAGAGCAAGGCCGUGCGGUGAGGAACUUCAGUCGUUGUUGCAUCGAUAGCUCGUGCGACCGCAUCGGGGAAGAGACGUCCGCGCGAGGAGGGAGCCUAGAUGCUUGCUGCUGAUAGCUCGCGCGACUGCGGCCUGUGCAGCAGAGGCGCGUCCGCACGACUAUGGAGCUAAGCCACUAGCUGAAGGCUUAGUCCAGCACAACAAUGGAUGCAACCUAUCCGUGGGACUAUCCGCGACUUAGAAGUUCAAUUCGACAAAGCUGCCAACAUCUUUCCGUGCAAAAUUUACAGAAUUGGUGAAAUUUGCACUCCAUCUUCCAACAUCCGAAGUGGUCAAGUUUAAUUAAUUAGAGCUAGGUAAAGAAGGUAUGUGACCUAGAAAUUCAAACACUAAGCCUGGCUGACACAGCUCCUUUCACUUGCGGUCAUGCCGAUUUCGUAGGUCUGGAGUUGUCAGUUUUGGCUGACCUUUGUUUUUUGUGUUCCUGCAUACACCGACCAAGUGCCUCAAUGGGGUCAUGCUGAUUUCUUGCACCAUGUGAGGCCGACCAAGAGGAGCUAGCCAGAUUUGGAGUUCUUGUUGCCGCCAUCCUCCAUUGCCCAUCAGGCUUGGCCUUUCGUAGGUGUGUAUUCCAGAUCACGCCGUGUCGCUGUUCUGCAGGUCCGGCUCAGGCCGGCCGGCCCUCUCCGGCUCUCCCACUCUCUCUCAGUCCCUCCCCUCCCCUCCAGCCGUAUCUCUCGUCCUCUCCCUCCCCUGCAACAACAGUAGCAAGGCGCUGGGCGGAGGAGAGACCGAGAGGGCCGGAGGCGAAAGGGAGAGUCGGAGCCCAAGGGAGAGUGGAGGCGGGGGCAGCCGCCGAUGCAAGAAAGCCUCCUAUGGCGUGCCCUCUCCCCCUCUCUGUCACUGGAUAAGAUAGAAGAAAGGAGCGCGGGUUGAAUUCUAAGAAAUUCAGGGGCUAAUUUAUAAAACCGAAUCGUUUUUUCAGAAUACCACUUAAAGAGGGACUGUGGGUUUAAUUCAAAACAACAUAAGGACUUUUUUGUAAAAUGUGCGACGACGGACGACCAGAAACAUUAGUUGCUUUAUUAUUAGGGAAGAUUGUCUUCCUUAUGAGUGGCAGUCGGGGACGACCGAUGGUCUUUUCCUACCAAUCUAUCCCCCUAGGAGCAUGCAUGUAG